GUGAGGAAUAUUGGUCAAUGGGCGGGAGCCUGAACCAGCCAAGUCGCGUGAAGGAAGAAGGAUCUAUGGUUCGUAAACUUCUUUUGCAGGGGAAUAAAGUGCAGGACGUGUCCUGUUUUGUAUGUACCCUGAGAAUAAGGAUCGGCUAACUCCGUGCCAGCAGCCGCGGUAAUAAGGAGGAUCCGAGCGUUAUCCGGAUUUAUUGGGUUUAAAGGGUGCGUAGGUGGUUUGAUAAGUCAGCGGUGAAAGUUUGCAGCUUAACUGUAAAAAUGCCGUUGAAACUGUCGGACUUGAGUGUAAAUGAGGUAGGCGGAAUGCGUGGUGUAGCGGUGAAAUGCAUAGAUAUCACGCAGAACUCCGAUUGCGAAGGCAGCUUACUAAGCUACAACUGACACUGAAGCACGAAAGCGUGGGGAUCAAACAGGAUUAGAAACCCGUGUAGUCC
rnacentral:rRNA from 1 species